UUGAACUCAUAAUAUGGAUGAUAAUUUCACUUUCAAAUUAAUGAGUUUUAAAUUUGUAACUUUCCAGUUCAGAGUGAGACUUUCAGAAACAAAAUUGAAAUAACUAAAUGAGAUGCAUACUUUAUUGUGAUUGUAAGGAACACAGCGUGAAUAAAGACAUAAAAGGGUUAACAGCAAGAAUAAAGUCGCAAACAGAGGCUUGCCAGCAGCUGGUAAAUGAGCCAAGGAGAAGGAGUGGACGAACUUGUUUUCAGAGGUCAUCGCAAUGGAGCCCAUACGGGGGAUUCUACACAGCUGAUAAGGGAGGAGCAUGAGCAAAAGCCUACCCAGUGAUCAUCUUGGUAUCUGCUGGUCUCAGGACUCCCUAGGGAAAGGAGGUUGAAGAAGCGAGAAAAAGGGA
rnacentral:lncRNA from 1 species